ACCUGGAGCAGCCAGAGGAAAGGAUGCUGAGGCAGAAACAGUCCAACGCACAGGGCUAGAAACUGCCAGCCCUGAAGAAUGACAAAAGGAACUCACUGUUACCUCAGAACAUGAUGUGAGACAGAGAGGCAGCAUGUGAGAGACGGUUUUGAUCAUGUGACUAGUGUCACGAGCGACUGCUGACACCGUGUGGUGAGAAUGCAAACCUGCAGGGGUCCCGGAUGGCCGUGUGGCUGCCUCCUGCGGGUCUGCUUGACGAGCUGGCAAAAGAACUCGUUCUGAAGCUCCGGGUGGGCCAGACACACCUGCAAGGCGCUCUGGGCCAGCGAGACGUGGUAGUCGAUGGCCGGGGCGUCGAUGGCCACAUUGAUGAAAAGCUGACAAGUCUGGGGGGAGGUGACGCAUCGAGACAGAGACGAUCUGCACUUGUGGGCCUGCGAGGGCAGAGUGGUGAGAGGAGACGACAGAGCCUCCUUACUGAAACACAGCGUGGGAUGCCUCCAGAUCUGAGAGUCUGAAAGACACGACGUGUCACAGCAAUGAAUGAAAAAAACAAGAGGACGAGUAAAUACAGAGCAAGAGGAAGAAUAAAUACGGGGCAAAGCCUCACCGUAAAUGCUAAAAGGAAUAUCUAAUUAAAAAAAACAACUAACAGGACAGAGAGAUGGACUUUGUUGACACCACGAGGUAAAUUGUCAAACAACUGCUCCAGGUGAGGCUCGAACUCACAACCUCGGCAUUGCCCUUCAGUGUACUGUCAUAUAAGUACCGCGCGCUAACCGAUUGCGCCACUGGAGCACAAAGAUUACAUGACUCUGUCUGGAGCUGAAGAGUAAAAGAAUAACAGACAAGCAAAAAAAAUCCACUGUAAAAACUAUUUGUAGAAGACACACGUGCACUCUCAAUCUAUGUGGAGACCAAUGGAGAUUUAUUUUCACCAGAACCUUUUUUCCCCACAUCUUAAUAAUCUUUAGUUAUAGAAAAACUUUUCAAAAUCCACAUUACAAAGUGCUUCACAAGGCAACAAUUAAAAAAAAAAGAGGUGUCAAUCCUCAGAAUCAAAAGACAAUGAUUACAAAAUUCAGUUCAAAGAAAAUUUACAUUAAAGAAAAAAAAUCUGGAAAGGCUCUCUUGAGAAGGGGCUUACAAGAGUCUUCUUGUUUUGAUGAAUGUACUGACUGACUGGUUGAAGGAUGAGAAAACAUAAUCUAGUUUAUUCCUAUUUUACUAAAUAAAUUACUAUAUAGUUGAAGAUAAAAAAAAAAUACAUCUCAAUAUUUUCACAGAAAUCUGAUUUAAUGCAAAUUAUAGGAGGCAAUCAAUUUUAUCAAAAAUAUGAUGACUCACCAAAGAAGGAGCAUGAUGUUAACAGUGGAAUAGUUAAAUAGUUAAAAGCAAUUUGGUUUAAUCGAUAGUUCUCAAAGCGGGAUAUGUCCGGUAUAUUUUUGUUUGUGAUUGUUCAUAUCUACUUCAGCAAAUUAGAAGUAAAACACAUUCAAAGACACAACAAGGCGGAACAUUAUUUGUAGGAAAAAACUCACUCGGAUCUCCGUCCAACUGGAAGAGCUUUCCCACCAGCUGUUCGAACUCUGUGCCAACUUUACCCACCGCGGCGCCUGCCGCCACAGACAGAUGGUACCGCCACGCGUCCUGCGGAGGCCCGAGUGACAACGACGUCAAGUUUGGACAUAGUUACUGAGAACACAAUGUGACUCUACGAUGAAGUCAGUGAAAAACAAAGGUAUAACACGGCGGUGUGAGAGCGAUGCUCUGUUGACCUCUGACCUUUUCGUGGCGGGACUCGAUUAGCAGGUAGGUGGGCCCUUGCUCCUGCGGGUGGAUGGCGAUGGUGAAGGGUGCUCCCUGGAAGCCCCGCCCGCACGCCUUCAGGUCGUCAUCUGAAUCCCGGGACCGGUCCACCUCCUCCACCUUGGCCUCCCACAGUUUAAUCUGACCCAGCGGGAACUGUGGAAAGAAUCAAACUUAAGUCUCACAUGCAGAUCCAUUCAAAUAACUGUUUAUUCUUCUUCUAUUCAGUCAUUUACAUUUACAACUACAUGUACCAUUACAUUUGAAAACAUGGAAAGAGAUUAGAGAGAGAUUUAAAUGGUGAAAUUUUUCAUUUACAGGAAAUUAAGACUGAAAUACUCAAAAUCGAUGAGGGAUCCUAAAUAAAAAAAAUGUAAUCUGGA